rnacentral:rRNA from 1 species
GACGAACGCUGGCGGCGUGCCUAAUACAUGCAAGUAGAACGCACAGUUUAUACCGUAGCUUGCUACACCAUAAACUGUGAGUUGCGAACGGGUGAGUAACGCGUAGGUAACCUGCCUGGUAGCGGGGGAUAACUAUUGGAAACGAUAGCUAAUACCGCAUAAUAUUGAUUAUUGCAUGAUAAUUGAUUGAAAGAUGCUAUUGCAUCACUACCAGAUGGACCUGCGUUGUAUUAGCUAGUAGGUGAGGUAACGGCUCACCUAGGCGACGAUACAUAGCCGACCUGAGAGGGUGAUCGGCCACACUGGGACUGAGACACGGCCCAGACUCCUACGGGAGGCAGCAGUAGGGAAUCUUCGGCAAAGGACGAAAGUCUGACCGAGCAACGCCGCGUGAGUGAAGAAGGUUUUCGGAUCGUAAAGCUCUGUUGUAAGAGAAGAGCGGGUGUGAGAGUGGAAAGUUCACACUGUGACGGUAUCUUACCAGAAAGGGACGGCUAACUACGU